rnacentral:tRNA from 1 species
GCGGGUGUAGUUUAGUGGUAAAACAAGAAGCCUUCCACAGCUCUGGUGGAGAGUUCGGAUUCUUUCACCCGCUCCA